AUGGCGACCGUCCCCGCUCCCGCAGCCGAGACCGCGGCCUCCACCGCGCGCACGGUGAAGGAUGUCAACCCCCACGAGUUCGUCAAGGCCUACUCCGCGCACCUCAAGCGCUCCGGCAAGAUGGAGCUUCCAGAGUGGGUUGACAUUGUCAAGACUGCAAGGUUCAAGGAGCUGCCACCUUCUGAUGCUGACUGGUACUACAUCAGGGCUGCCUCGAUGGCAAGGAAGAUCUACCUGAGGCAGGGAAUCGGGAUCGGCGGCUUCCAGAAGAUCUACGGUGGCCGUCAGAGGAACGGUUCACGCCCACCGCACUUUUGCAAGAGCAGUGGUGCUGUUUCCCGCAACAUCCUCCAGGAGUUGCAGAAGAUGGGCAUCAUUGAUGUCGACCCCAAGGGUGGAAGGCUCAUCACCUCCCAGGGAAGGCGCGAUCUGGACCAGGUUGCUGGAACUGUUCCUGCCGAAUUCUGA
rnacentral:rRNA from 1 species